AAAAAUGUAUAUAUAAAUAAAAAAAUAAAAAAAAAGCGCGCCCGAUCUCGUCUGAUCUCGGAAGCUAAGCAGGGUCGGGCCUGGUUAGUACUUGGAUGGGAGACCGCCUGGGAAUACCAGGUGCUGUAAGCUUUAGUUUUUUCGUCAAAAUUGAUCUAAUAUACUGCAGAUUAGGGUGGCUGAUCUUUAAAUAGCCCACACUUUGCAGCAGCCCUCGCUUACGGCCAUACCACCCUGAGCGCGCCCGAUCUCGUCUGAUCUCGGAAGCUAAGCAGGGUCGGGCCUGGUUAGUACUUGGAUGGGAGACCGCCUGGGAAUACCAGGUGCUGUAAGCUUUAGUUUUUUUUAUCAAAAUUGAUCUAAUAUACUGCAGAUUAGGGUGGCUGAUCUUUAAAUAGCCCACACUUUGCAGCAGCCCUCGCUUACGGCCAUACCACCCUGAGCGCGCCCGAUCUCGUCUGAUCUCGGAAGCUAAGCAGGGUCGGGCCUGGUUAGUACUUGGAUGGGAGACCGCCUGGGAAUACCAGGUGCUGUAAGCUUUAUUUUUUCGUCAAAAUUGAUCUAAUAUACUGCAGAUUAGGGUGGCUGAUCUUUAAAUAGCCCACACUUUGCAGCAGCCCUCGCUUACGGCCAUACCACCCUGAGCGCGCCCGAUCUCGUCUGAUCUCGGAAGCUAAGCAGGGUCGGGCCUGGUUAGUACUUGGAUGGGAGACCGCCUGGGAAUACCAGGUGCUGUAAGCUUUAGUUUUUUUGUCUAUAUGGAUCUAAUACAUUGCGCAUUAGGGUUGCUGAUCUUUAAAUAGCCCACACUUUGCAGCAGCCCUCGCUUACGGCCAUACCACCCUG
ensembl:lncRNA